UCGAGAAUCAUUCGCAAUGGGCGAAAGCCUGACGAUGCGACGCCGUGUGAGCGAUGAAGGCCUUCGGGUUGUAAAGCUCUUUCGCUUGGGAACAAGAGAAGCUGGCUAAUAUCCAGCGGAUUUGAGGGUACCAGGUAAAGAAGCACCGGCUAACUCCGUGCCAGCAGCUGCGGUAAUACGGAGGGUGCAAGCAUUAAUCGGAUUUAUUGGGCGUAAAGGGCGCGUAGGCGGUAAGAAAAGUCAGAUGUGAAAUCCUGGGGCUCAACCUCAGAACAGCAUUUGAAACUGUCUUUCUAGAGGGUAGGCGGAGAAAACGGAAUUCCACAAGUAGCGGUGAAAUGCGUAGAUAUGUGGAAGAACACCGGUGGCGAAGGCGGUUUUCUAGCUUAUUCCUGACGCUGAGGCGCGAAAGCAAGGGGAUCAAACAGGAUUAGAUACCCCCGUAGUCC
rnacentral:rRNA from 1 species